rnacentral:rRNA from 1 species
AGGAUGAACGCUGGCGGCGUGCUUAACACAUGCAAGUCGAACGAUGAAGGCUGGAGCUUGCUCUGGCUGGAUUAGUGGCGAACGGGUGGGUAACACGUGAGUAACCUGCCCCAGACUCUGGGAUAAGCGCUGGAAACGGCGUCUAAUACCGGAUACGAGCCUUCCACCGCAUGGUGAGGAGCUGGAAAAGUAUUUCGGCUGGGAUGGACUCGCGGCCUAUCAGCUUGUGUGAGGUAUGGCUCACAAGGCGACGACGGGUAGCCGGCCUGAGAGGGUGACCGGCCACGACGUGGGACUGAGACGCGGCCCAGACUCCGUACGGGAGCAGCAGGUGGGAAUAGUGCACAAGUGGGCGACAAGCCUGAUGCAGCCAACGCCGCGUGGAGGACGAAGGCCGUU